CAAUUCUAGAGUUUUGAAAGUUGCUUACAAUGCACUUCCUGUUAACUAAGAAAACUCUGAAGCAAAAGGGUGGAGAGAAGUUUGUAAAUUCCUUUGUUUGAUAAUGACAUAAGACAUAAUUUUAUUGACCAAGAAAUAAAGAAUGAGAGGAUGUUUCAGAGACCAUGCUCACUAUGCCUAACAAGGUCCAAAAGGCAUGAUGACUCCAUGUGAAGAAAUUACUUACAAAAUGAGUCAAUCAAGUUGGCAUAAUUUGAGAAGCAGAAAUGAAGGUGGAACUUGCAUCUAGAGAUUAAACAUACAUUUUC